GAAGUAAAGACUCUAGGCCACUGGUCUUAAUGAUAUCCAAGACCCCUUCCAGCUUGAGAACUCCAGACCGGAAGCCCACAGACUUAACCUGGGUCCAGCCACUACUAGUAGUGGGGCUCUAGGAAGUCCCUUUCCUCCUCAGAGCCCCAGUUUCUUACUCUUUCAAAUGACCAUCAAGAUUCCUAGAUUGUAUUUUACCCAGGGCGUUAAGAGGAUUUUGUUUGGACUCGCAGAUGGGAACAUACUUUUUUAGUGGUGGCGUCUUGUUUUUCCGAGGCACGACGUCUUCUUUUACUGUGAUUUCAUGGAAUUGUGCCAACAACCUGGUUGGAUAAAAGUGAAGAGCGCUCGGAAGAACUGAAUGAAAUGUGCAGCUGUCGGUGUCAUUUCUGAAGGGAGGACUCGUUUUCUUGGAGAAGAGGCCUCAAUGAGCCUGGCCGAGGCCCGGGAUCUGUGUGAAGUGGACUAAGGAUUUAGUAGGAUGUCAACUGAGACAGAACUUCAAGUAGCUGUGAAAACCAGCGCCAAGAAAGACUCCAGAAAGAAAGGUAGGGCUCAAGCUGUUCCUAUCCUAAUAUCUACUCUUGUGUAGGAAUGAGGUUUUUUGGUCCUGGAAUGGCAUUUGGGGGACUAUCUUUGUGAUUGCUUAUGUUUGUUUGUUUUAAUAGCACCAUUAUUGGGUGUUUUUUGUAUGCACAGUAUCGUAUUUUAAAGGUCCUUCCUAAUUCUCUUGGUAAAAUCCAAAGUUCUUUUCAGCAUAUACAAAGCCCUUCUUGACAUGUCUUCUACUCAUCCCCCCCCCCCAAGCAACAUCUGUGUCUGCAUUCACGCCCCAUCUCCAUCUAACCCUGUUCACCCGCCGGGCAUUCUGUGCUUUGUAGUUCCUCUUUGCAUAUACCAGUGAUUCUCAAACUCCAGCUGCACCAGCAUCACCUGGAAGGCUUGUUAAAACAGAGAUUGCUGAGUCUCAUUCCCAGAAAUUUGGGUUCCCUGGGUCUGUGGUGGGGCCCAAGUUUCAUCUACAACAAAUUCCCAGAUGAUGCUGAUGCUGGUGGUUCAGAGUCCAGACUUUGAGAACCACUGGACUCUCAAUCCGUCUGUGGCUCUCUGCUAUUUCCUAGACUGACUUCUGCCUAUUCUUUAGUUUUGAGCGUAGUAGGACUUCCUGGAGGGCCAGGCCUUUCCUUAACCCCAAAUGGGAUUAGUUUCUCUUUGUUUGUUUUGUUUCGUUAGCACUUUGUUGGUAGCUAACUUUAUUAAUAAUGUCUUUGUGUUUGUUAGCCAUACUAUAUAGUCCUUGAGAGCUGGAUCUCUUGUUGACCCUUUUAACUCCCAUCAAUUAGAAAGUGCUUGACACAUGGGAGUUCCUCUAGUGGCUCAGUGGGUUAAGAACUGGACGCUGUCUUGUGAGGAUGCAUGUUUGAUCCUUAGCCUUGCUCAUUGGGUUAAGGAUGCAGUGUAGGUUACAGAUAUGGCCCGGAUCUGGUGGUGCAGUGGCUGUGGUGUAGGCCAGCAGCUGCAGCUCCGAUUUGACCCUUGGCAGCUUUCAUAUGCUGCAGGUGUGGCUAUAAAAUGAAAAAAAAAAAAAA
rnacentral:lncRNA from 1 species